ensembl:lncRNA
CCUUUCUUCGUGCUUUCAUUGUCUGUUUGCGAAAAUUCCGUGCGAUACUUUUCAAUUUGAUGUACAACAAACAUUUGUAGGAUAUUCCUUGUGCCGCAAGCGUUUAACCGUAGCAGGCCGAAUUAGGAGAACACGGCCGGAGCGUCGGCGGAUGGUUUGUCUGGUUGCCUCUCUGUUUUUGAUUUCUGUCUAUUACAUCGUAACAUGCAUUCCUACAAGGGUUCCAUUGGACUGGAGUCUCAUUACUCUGUGGUGAUUGUUCUGCCAAGACACUCACGGCCUAAGCUCCUGUGCAAGAGUCCGCCUGCAAUAUGGGCCAAAGAUAACGCGACGUUUUCCUCUCCCACUUCAGCAGAAGCACUGUGCAGCCGUGGGCUUCUGGGCUCGACGGUAGCAAACUUAAGAAGCGACUGCAGAGGAUUCACAGCAUUCAGCAGCGCUACCAGACCAAGAAGAGGACAGGACUGUGUCUCCAUCACAGUCAAAGGGACAUUCGGUCUGCACUGAUUGUAGCAGUAGAGUCCACAACAACACACACAUUGAACUUGAAGCUUUACUUUUCCUUCCCUUCCAGCGCUUCUUUGGGAUAUAGUCUGUCACACAUUACCAGCUUUGACAGAAGUGUGAAGGAAAUACGUGAAAUGGCCUGAGGCGUAGCCACGGCCGGCUUAACCACAAACAGGCCGUGCCAGUCUUCUCACAACAGGUAUUUCUGUAGCACGACUGAGAGGUGAAAGUGUAGCUUAAGUUACUCCAAAUGAGAAAAUGCUGUCGCAGGGCUUUCAUGUCCUCGACCCAACAGCUAUGUGUCGCGGUGAUACCCAUGAAAAGCAGUUUUGAUGAUGAUGUCACUAUGCACUAAUCUGAUUGCUCUCAUUUUCUCCGUCUCGCUUAAGGUCACUUCUCCUACAUCCUGUCAGUAACGCAAUUCAACAUGCAG